UGCCAGAGGUGUGGACUUGAGUCACAUGACUUGGACUAGAGUCAGACUCAAGUCACAAAUAUGAUGACUUGCAAAUUGACUUGAACUUUAACACCAGUGACUUAAUUUGGACUUGAGCCUUUUGACUCGAACUGACUUGAUACCCUCCCCCAAGUCCAAAUAUGAAAAAUAAUAUUUUUAUAUGAAAAAUUAUAUUUUUUAAAAGUGUGCAGCGCAUCAACUCUUCAUUUAACGGAUUACAGUUUGAAUCGGACAGCAGCCAAUCAAAUUGUGCCAGCAGACAAAAGGUUGCGAGUGGCAAUGCAGAUGGACGUCAGCGGGUGAAUUCAGAUGGAGCCCUUGGAAAGAUGAUACCCAAAAUUAUUAUUUUCGGAUAUAAAGUCUACGCUGUAGUCACCCAAAACUUUUUUUUUUUUUUUAACUUUUCAAUAAUUUUUUCUAUGCUUUCCUCUUACAGAUUUGAACAAUUCCAGAUGAACAAAAGUGUCACAAGUGAACCACAAGUCUCCAAACUCACAGUUCAUCGAGACGCGUGUAGGGCAGUACAGCAUGAAUCAUCCUCAUCAGAAAGCUAUCAACACUGCAAUACUGUCCGACAUGGUUAUCGAUUGCAACUUGCCUCUGUCUAUUGUGGAAAACCACAGUUUUUGUCACUUUCUGUCAGUGGUUGACAGUAAGUACAGCCCAGUGUGUCGCAGAACAUUGACAUCAAAAGUAGAGAACCUCGCUACAGCGAGAUGUUCAAAACUGAAAACUCAGUUGAGCAACACAGACCAAGUUUCAGUCACAGUGGACAUUUGGGCCGACCGAAAGAUGAGUAUGGGAGUGGAAUAGGUUGAAGGAGUUGGUGGACAUCCUGAAGCCAUUUGGAGCAACAGAUAUGACACAGGGGGAGAAGAAUGUCACAAUGAGUUCUGUGGUUCCCUCUGUCCUGUUCCUGCAUCACCACCUGGAACAUUUUCUGAGCAGCCUGGUCAGAAGUCUCCAGGCAUCCCUGAACAAAAGAUUUCUUGGAAUCUUCAUCAAUGUGAAAAUGUCCAGGACACAAGAUGGAAUCACUUCCCCCUUUUCAGAUCCAGUCUACCUCAAAGCAGCUG
ensembl:lncRNA